UAACAGCUCAAAUUUGAAAUCUGGCUCCCUGUGGAGUCCGAGUUGUAAUUUGUAGAAGAUGCUUUGGGUGCACGAUCCGGCCUAAGUGCCUUGGAACAGGACGUCGUAGAGGGUGAGAAUCCCGUAUGCGGCCGGUUUCGACGCCCGUGUAAAGCUCUUUCGACGAGUCGAGUUGUUUGGGAAUGCAGCUCAAAAUGGGUGGUAAAUUUCAUCUAAAGCUAAAUAUGGGCCAGAGACCGAUAGCGCACAAGUAGAGUGAUCGAAAGAUGAAAAGCACUUUGGAAAGAGAGUUAAACAGUACGUGAAAUUGUUGAAAGGGAAGCGCUUGCAACCAGACUUGGGCAUCGCUGAUCAUCCAAAGUUCUCUUUGGUGCACUCGACGAUGCACAGGCCAGCAUCGGUUGGGGUGGUGGGAGAAAGACUGCAGGAACGUAGCUCUUUUCGGAGAGUGUUAUAGCCUGCGGUGCAAUACCGCCUACCUCGACCGAGGACCGCGCUUCGGCUAGGAUGCUGGCGUAAUGGUUGUAAGCGACCCG
rnacentral:rRNA from 1 species